rnacentral:rRNA from 1 species
CUUGGUCAUUUAGAGGAAGUAAAAGUCGUAACAAGGUCUCCGUUGGUGAACCAGCGGAGGGAUCAUUACCGAGUUUACAACUCCCAAACCCCUGUGAACAUACCACUUGUUGCCUCGGCGGAUCAGCCCGCUCCCGGUAAAACGGGACGGCCCGCCAGAGGACCCCUAAACUCUGUUUCUAUAUGUAACUUCUGAGUAAAACCAUAAAUAAAUCAAAACUUUCAACAACGGAUCUCUUGGUUCUGGCAUCGAUGAAGAACGCAGCAAAAUGCGAUAAGUAAUGUGAAUUGCAGAAUUCAGUGAAUCAUCGAAUCUUUGAACGCACAUUGCGCCCGCCAGUAUUCUGGCGGGCAUGCCUGUUCGAGCGUCAUUUCAACCCUCAAGCCCUCGGGUUUGGUGUUGGGGAUCGGCGAGCCCUUGCGGCAAGCCGGCCCCGAAAUCUAGUGGCGGUCUCGCUGCAGCCUCCAUUGCGUAGUAGUAAAACCCUCGCAACUGGAACGCGGCGCGGCCAAGCCGUUAAACCCCCAACCUCUGAAUGUUGACCUCGGAUCAGGUAGGAAUACCCGCUGAACUUAAGCAUAUCAAUAAGCGGAGGA